rnacentral:rRNA from 1 species
UCAUUACCGAGUUUACAACUCCCAAACCCCUGUGAACAUACCACUUGUUGCCUCGGCGGAUCAGCCCGCUCCCGGUAAAACGGGACGGCCCGCCAGAGGACCCCUAAACUCUGUUUCUAUAUGUAACUUCUGAGUAAAACCAUAAAUAAAUCAAAACUUUCAACAACGGAUCUCUUGGUUCUGGCAUCGAUGAAGAACGCAGCAAAAUGCGAUAAGUAAUGUGAAUUGCAGAAUUCAGUGAAUCAUCGAAUCUUUGAACGCACAUUGCGCCCGCCAGUAUUCUGGCGGGCAUGCCUGUUCGAGCGUCAUUUCAACCCUCAAGCACAGCUUGGUGUUGGGACUCGCGUUAAUUCGCGUUCCCCAAAUUGAUUGGCGGUCACGUCGAGCUUCCAUAGCGUAGUAGUAAAACCCUCGUUACUGGUAAUCGUCGCGGCCACGCCGUUAAACCCCAACUUCUGAAUGUUGACCUCGGAUCAGGUAGGAAUACCCGCU